rnacentral:rRNA from 1 species
GGGGAAUAUUGGACAAUGGGGGCAACCCUGAUCCAGCAAUGCCGCGUGAGUGAAGAAGGCCCUCGGGUUGUAAAGCUCUUUUGUCCGGAAAGAAAAGCGCCGGGUUAAUACCCUGGUGUCCUGACGGUACCGGAAGAGUAAGCACCGGCUAACUUCGUGCCAGCAGCCGCGGUAAUACGAAGGGUGCAAGCGUUACUCGGAAUUACUGGGCGUAAAGCGUGCGUAGGUGGUUCGUUAAGUCCGAUGUGAAAGCCCUGGGCUCAACCUGGGAAUGGCAUUGGAUACUGGCGGGCUAGAGUGCGGUAGAGGGUAGUGGAAUUCCCGGUGUAGCAGUGAAAUGCGUAGAGAUCGGGAGGAACAUCCGUGGCGAAGGCGACUACCUGGACCAGCACUGACACUGAGGCACGAAAGCGUGGGGAGCAAAC